CAUGACUGCAAUGUUUAUUUAACACUAAUGUUUUUACAAAGGAUACGGCUACUGUAAUUAUAAUUGUAUAUUGAUAGUACUGACCUAUUGGGAGCUGCACACACCUCUCACCGCACCGUCUCAAUUGUGACUGCACAAACAAGUUGCCACGUAGCUGUAGAUGAGUCCAAUCGUAAUCAGCUGGCAAGUCUGACUACACCUUAUCAGAAGAAUUUUGCUUAUCUGGAGGGUAAGCUGUGGA